rnacentral:ncRNA from 2 species
CUCUUAUGGAGAGUGGCGGAGGGACGGGCCCGACGAUGCCACGGCAACCGGUGCGUUCGACGUACGACGGUGCCAAAUCCUGCAGCAGCCUGCUGAGAAAUGAGAG